GGUGCUAUAGUGUAGUGGUUAUCACUCAGGAUUUUGAUAAGGAUGACCUCUUUCUCUUCCUGGAACCCAGGUUCGAACCCUGGUAGCACCU